rnacentral:rRNA from 1 species
UUUAUGGAGCCAGCCGCCUAAGGUGGGACAGAUGAUUGGGGUGAAGUCGUAACAAGGUAGCCGUAUCGGAAGGUGCGGCUGGAUCACCUCCUUUCUAUGGAGA